UCAGGCCCUGCGGCCAGGCUGAGACACACGGGCCUGGAAGCCUUUCGCGGGUAGCGCGCAAAUGUGACCCAUCUCUCCGCUGAGCCUUUGUUUUCUUAUCUGUAAAAUGGGAACAGUAGUAUCUACUUCGUGGGGAGAUUCUGACAUCUGGCCCUGAGAGGAAAUGAGCUGGACAGGAGGCAGCAAUGAGCCCAGGGGCCUCCGGGCCCCACAGUCCUUGACCCUCAAAUACCCGCCCUCGGGCUCACAACCUGCGGGGAGAGACAACUUGGCCGUCCACCCCUGGGGCCCCCCAGCAGGCCAGAGACUAAUUCCCUUGAUCGCUACCCAGUUAACGCAGAUGGUACCGAGGUGAGGGACCCGCCGCAGGUGCCCAUACCCGCAGCCUGAGUCUUUCUUGUUCCUGCAGUGUCCCCAGCACCAAACAUAGGGUGGGGCACCCAGUGAGCGCUCAGGAAACUUCUGUUGACUGAACAAGUGAGAAAACUGAGCAUCAGGGUGAUUUAGGAACUCAAUACAGCUAACCUCCAAAAAAGUGUGCACUUAACCACUGCCUGGUACUGGCAUUGAGCUGUCAAUCUACUCAGAUAAAAUGAAGAACUUGCUAAGACUUCUGUCCUCCUGGCCCUCCAACCCGUCAACUCUGCUUUGGAAGGGCUGGUGCCAUAACUAAAGGCUUUCUUUGUCUUUAUUCUGUACCUUUGUCACUCCACUUCUAGGAAUUUCUCCUAAAACACUACCUGCCACUAUCAGAAUGUAAGAUUUUGGGGGGAGGGAGUGGCACUUGAACAAAUGCUUUCUGUUUUAGUGGUACUGUGUUUAUUUGAAUGUGUGUUAAUUUGGAGGAAAAAAACUGGGAUGGCAAAUACUGAGCUUAAAAAAUGAGUCAGGGAUCCCUGGGUGGCUCAGCGGUUUGGCGCCUGCCUUUGGCCCAGGGCGCGAUCCCGGAGACCCGGGAUCGAAUCCCACGUCGGGCUCCCGGUGCAUGGAGCCUGCUUCUCCAUCUGCCUGUGUCUCUGCCUCUCUCUCUCUCUCUGUGACUAUCAUAAAUAAAUAAAAAUUAAAAAAAAAGAAAGAAAAAAUGAGUCAAUUUUUAAAAAAAUGAGUCAAUUUAAGAAACUAUGUGGUAGAUGAUAUGGGUAGUGUAACUAUAUGGCAGAUUUGGGGGGCAGAUGGUAUACGGAUGACUGAAAUUUGAGAAACAGCAGCCGCUGGAAAGGAGUCCAAAGGAAGAAGACUUUUUGUUGUUGAUGAGCUGUUGACUGUGGCAUCCUCUGUAAAAGUUGGAUUCCUUGAUUUACGAGUAACAGAAUUUACAUUGGCUGGUUUACACAGAAGAAGGAUUUGUUUAACUGUUUGAGUUAGCUUACAGAAUUGUGGGACAGGCUAGAAAAAUUACUACCAAGCCACAGAACUGAAUCUGACUUGGCAAGAGAAGCGCUGCUCUCGCUACUGCCACCAAACGCAAAAGGCCAGGACUUUGACUUAUCUGUGCCACCUACUUGCUCAUGGCACUGAAGCCACGUCUACAUCAAGAAAAUGACCUUCCCUUCCGACCCUCCUGCCCCCCAAAGUCAGGCACAUUCAAAACCUCCUUUGAAUGCGUCUGAUUGGAGAAGUCUAAAUCAUCCUGUGUCUGUGUCAGAGGAGUCUGAGAGAGCUGGCUUCACUUUGAUGCUGGAGAACAAGAGUGCUAGCAGGGAAUUUCCCCAGGUGUCAGCCUUGCCCAGUGAACCCAGAUGUCCUGCAUGUGGAUGUGGGAGCAUGAAUCUGGCAUAGCCACUAGAUGACAUAGUAAUAGAGGGGGCUCAGAGUUGCAGAGACAAGGGGAGCCAACCGCCUGAAAAAAUGCUUGUGAGCAGUGCCAAGUGAAGAAGGAAGGCUGACUGCUGGAGAAACACAGCAUGUGGGGGUUGGCGAGGGUUAGGGUUAGAGGAAGAAUGGGGAGUGAGGGGAUGAACAGCAAAGGAAAUGGGAAAAAAAUCAGGACUUUAGGAGGCUGUGAAUUUGCUUAGAGAAACAUUUUUCUCUUUCAGACGUGAGUUUUUGAGUGAUUAUAAAGACUUUUUUGUGCAGAAUCUUGAACUCUUUAAAAAGAUACUCUUGAAAAAAAAAAAAAAGAUACUCUUGAAAUCAAAUGGCAAA